GCAUAUGCAUGAAGAGAACAAAAGUCCACAUCAGUGGAACACAGAUUAGAUUCACCAUGGCAACAGGUGGGGAAAAAAAGGCUACAUCCUACAAUUUUCCCUCAGUGAGGUUUGAGAUAAUAAUACAUGUGUA